UGGUUUUUCUUCAGAUCGUAUAAAUCUUUCGCCUUUUACUAAAGAUUUCCGUGGAAAUAUAUAUUAUA
ensembl:snRNA U5 U5 spliceosomal RNA